UACGGGGGGGGCAAGCGUUGUUCGGAAUUACUGGGCGUAAAGGGCUCGUAGGCGGCCAACUAAGUCAGACGUGAAAUCCCUCGGCUUAACCGGGGAACUGCAUCUGAUACUGGAUGGCUUGAGUUCGGGAGAGGGAUGCGGAAUUCCUGGUGUAGCGGUGGAAUGCGCAGAUAUCAGGAGGAACACCAAUAGCGAAGGCAGCUCGCUGGGACGUUACUGACGCUGAGGCGCGAAAGCGUGGGGAGCAAACAGG
rnacentral:rRNA from 1 species